UUCUAAACUGAGCGCAGAAAACAGAGCGCACCGUUGGUUUGGCUGCUGGACUCCAUGAAACAUCUGGGAAACGGAAACGGAAAUGGCGUCAGGAAUCGGCAGCAGAUCGAAGAUGGACGUUAAGAGGAUCUCAACUCAUCCAAAGGGAGGUGAAACAACUCCUGUAGCGGCUGACCGAAGGAAGACAAACAAGGCGUCAUGGAAUCCCCACUUGGCCUUGGCAAAACGCUGGAACGCCGCAGAGACUCGGCGCCGGCCAAGGGCUUCACAAGCAGACGCAGACGUGCAGCUGGCAUUCAACGCAUUUGGCCAACUUUCCCCUCUCAUCCAGUCCUCUGACACUUUCACUGAGCAGUUUUUCCUCUACUGAUAUUUCUUGGGAUGAUCAUGAAACAGUCCUCCAGAUCUACAAAAUUCUUUGACUGUUUUAUCCACAUUGGUAUUGUGAUUUAUGGAAAUGUUCCAUGAAUAAAGGUAACAUUUUGUCACAGAAAUGUUUUCAGUGUA